GACGAACGCUGGCGGCGUGCCUAAUACAUGCAAGUUGAGCGAUGAAGAUUGGUGCUUGCACCAAUUUGAAGAGCAGCGAACGGGUGAGUAACGCGUGGGGAAUCUGCCUUUGAGCGGGGGACAACAUUUGGAAACGAAUGCUAAUACCGCAUAACAACUUUGAACAUAAGUUUUAAGUUUGAAAGAUGCAAUUGCAUCACUCAAAGAUGAUCCCGCGUUGUAUUAGCUAGUUGGUGAGGUAAAGGCUCACCAAGGCGAUGAUACAUAGCCGACCUGAGAGGGUGAUCGGCCACAUUGGGACUGAGACACGGCCCAAACUCCUACGGGAGGCAGCAGUAGGGAAUCUUCGGCAAUGGACGAAAGUCUGACCGAGCAACGCCGCGUGAGUGAAGAAGGUUGUCGGAUCGUAAAACUCUGUUGGUAGAGAAGAACGUUGGUGAGAGUGGAAAGCUCAUCAAGUGACGGUAACUACCCAGAAAGGGACGGCUAACUACGUG
rnacentral:rRNA from 1 species